GACGGGGGGUCCUAGCGUUGUUCGGAAUUAUUGGGCGUAAAGCGUGUGCAGGUGGUUUGGUAAGUUAGAUGUGAAAGCCCCGGGCUUAACCCGGGAAGUGCAUUUAAUACUGCUAAACUUGAGUAUGGGAGAGGGUCGUGGAAUUCCUAGUGUAGUGGUGAAAUACGUAGAUAUUAGGAGGAACACCGGUGGCGAAGGCGGCGACCUGGCCCAAUACUGACACUCAUACACGAAAGCGUGGGGAUCAAAC
rnacentral:rRNA from 1 species